GAAAAUGACGAAACAUGUUAUACAAUACUCGAAGGAAAAGGUUUUGGGUCGCGGGAACAAAACGUUUAUUAUAUGGGAUGUGCUUGAAGUUAUCGUGUUUGUCUCUGUAGUCUGUAAUCAAAUUCAAAACUUGAGGCUAACUCUUCACAAAUGGAUGCCCAUGAAGCCAGAAUCUUGCUCGGUUUUCCUCCCAAUUCACGUCCAACUCCUUCCCAGGUAAAAUCAGCUUACAAAAAGAAGGUGUGGGAAUCUCACCCUGACCUAUUUCCGUCUCAUGAAAAGCCUCUUGCUGAGUCUAAGUUUAAACUGAUUUCUGAAGCUUACACAUGCCUGCAAUCUGGUGGGAGAGAAACUUCAAGUUCAGUUGAAUAUUCACAUGUUGUGAGAACUGGAUUUCCAAGGGCUCAUGGAGGAAGAAAAAAUCAUACUAUGAUUAAAGUUCCAUUCAUGUUAAUCAUUCUGGGAACUGUUGCGCUUGGAGGACUUAAUGCUUCAAGGUGGCUUACAGGGCUUACAAAAAACAAAAGGCUGAUAACCCUUCACAUAAUCCAUUUCUUCCUUGAUUUCUCCUCCAUCAAGCGAGUAACUAAAUAUUUGUUGUAAUUGGUGGAAAAUAUUGUACCAUACAUAGAAAGCUGAAGUUGUGGACUCCUAGAGACGGAGAUUCUCGAACGCAAGCCGUGUGGAGCUAGCCGGAAGCCGAAUUCCUUCUCCAUUUCUUCUCCUUCUCCAUUGUCUUCUUCCCGGAGCUCGGAAAUCCUUGUGCCGAGAGCAGGGAUAGGAUGGUUGCUUACGGCAGGUCUGCAGCUGGCAGAUAGAGCUUGAUUCUUGUGGAUGUCUUGGUGUUUUAGCUACUAGGUGUAGUAGCGAUUGAUGUAUUUUGUACAUUUGAAUCUAGUCAGACUUGGGCCAUGUAUAUAUGUAUAUUCUAGACACUAUAUAUAUACACUUGUUCCUUUC